UGCAUGUGAGUAGCACCUGCUUGCUAGUUUCUGAACAGUGGGAAACAGGGAUCAGUCCGUGUGAGAGUACAGUGGCGCGUGUGUAAACGCUGCCACUUCUACAGGAAUAUUCGAUCUGCUGCUGUCGCAGUACCUGCCUGUUCCAAAGGCAGGGUAUAUUCACGUGCACCCCGAUUGCCGGCUACUCCUGGAUGCCAGUUAGCUACCUUCUCUACCAUCUCUUCAUCCAAGGACAGUGACAGUGACAAUUUCACCCGCUCGAGUAGUACACCUGGUUGCUGAUUAGGUGUGUUGACUAUCCAGCCCUUCCCGUGACGGUGAUCAUGCUCCCUGCUGCGUCCGUGUACCAUGCCUUACUAGCAGAUUGACCGACAGCCUCUGACUCACUCUGGUGCCCACCGUUUGCUGCCAGCAUCACCACGCUUGCUCCCGUCCUGCAAGUCGUGGAAUCGCCUCCGCUGCCGGCGUGUAGUGACAGCGUUGAAAGGCAUCGAGUAGCCAUGGGUGUGAAGGUGCUCCAGUGUUUCCCCUGGCCACGCAGUGCUAAGGACCGAGGCAACAGACAUCGCCACCUUACAGCAGGGCCCUCCAGGGACGUGGCAGUGCACCACAGCUGUGUAGCAGACAGGUGUAUCGUGGCUGAAGGUAGGGCCAGUGCCAGGCCUGCCCAGCAGGUCUACUUCUCCCAAAAGGCAUGCAUCACCCUUCGACACCAGAUGGACUGCAAUGUCAUUGAUGCAACCUAUUGACUCCCCACAAUCAGCCCUGCCCCAGAGUCUGUGGAACCAAAGACUUCUGCAGUGAACAAGCUGAAGCAUUUCUACUGUGUUGAUUUUUAACAGUUCAAACUCUUCACUGGACUGUGCUAUGAAGUAAGCAUUAACGUGUUCUGGGGGCAUCGGAAUAUCUGUGUAUGCAGAGGUGAUAGUGGUAAAAUGAGUUAUAUUUACACCAUCAAGUGCAUUUCUCCUCCUCUCUGAAUCCAAGUUUUUUGUUAUUUACCAACUUUGUACUGUCUGUGUUUAUGUCUGAGUGCAAUUUUCUUCAUCUGGUUUUAAUAUACAUAUAAUUAAUAUUAUUAAUAUAACAAUCAUUACAGUGAAUUGUAGAUAUAGAAUUCUUCAGUGCAGAUUACUUCUAGACCAGGGAUUGGCAUUUCUGAGUUACAUUUUAAUAUUUCCUCCCAGGCCUAGAGCACUCUGUAUCUGAUGACAGCUCCUGGGUACUAACUUGCACCUGCUAAUUACUAAUUAAGCACAAAAGUGUGACACUGAGACAGUGUUUUCAGUCUCUGGUACUUGCAUAGUUAUUUUGUGUACAGCAUGUACCACAAGGACAAAAUGUUACUGAAUUACAACUUGGCACUUUACAGGUUUGUCUACUGAGCGUAAAAAUAAAAGCUACUGUGUGAAGUC